rnacentral:tRNA from 2 species
UCCCGAGUAGCUCAGUUGGUAGAGCAGCUGACUGUUAAUCAGCGGGUCGGGGGUUCAAGUCCCUCCUCGGGAG